CACAUAUCACAAUAUAAAACCAUUUUGCAAAAGCUUGUUCCCAAGGCACUUGUCUUUAUGAAAAACUUGAUAAUUCAUUCAAAUGGGUGGCAAAUACAUUAUAUUUCCCAAAACAAAUUUUGAAGGCAGUCCACUCACCAAUUGAUUGUAGAGCCUUUAGAUGACUCCAAUUCUCCUAAUUGUCCAAAUGAGAUGAUGGGGCUUCCUUAGAACAUAGGAUCACAUUAGCAUAAGCAAUAGGUCAAUUACACACUAUGAACCCUAAAAGCUAUCUCUUAGUUAGCUUUCAAUUGCCACAUUAAAUGGCUAUCUUUGUUCACUAUCUUAAUCAUAAAAAAAUUAAUGAACAUAGUCAACAACAAAACAGCUCAUAAAUCCCAAUUACUACCCAUUUUCUACAGCUAAAAACCAAGCUUAAUUCAUCACUUACCCUAGGGCUCAUUUGUAGUCAAAUUCUCUUCCAAUUGUUUCCAAAUCAAUGGGGUAAUUCUCUCUUUCUCUCUCUAAAAUGUCCAACUAGUGAGAGAAAGUGCAGAAUUGAGAAUUAUCAAGGUUUUUAAAGUGAGAGGAUGAAAUAGCACAAGGGUUUGUGGAAGGAUGCAUCAAAAGCAUGAAAAUUGAAGCUAAUGAGAGAAAGUUAUGGAAGCUUGAAGAAAACUCCCAUGGAGGAAUUGAAGAAACGUGAGAGGGAAGAAGGGAAGAAGAAG
rnacentral:lncRNA from 1 species